GCUCCGGUGGCCUAGUGGUUAGAGCGUCCGCCUCGGAUGCGAAGGGUCGUAGGUUCGAUCCCCGAGCA